rnacentral:rRNA from 1 species
CUGGCUCAGGAUGAAACGCUAGCUACAGGCUUAACACAUGCAAGUCGAGGGGCAUCAUGAUCAAAGCUUGCUUGAUGAUGGCGACCGGCGCACGGGUGAGUAACGCGUAUCCAACCUUCCCCCUAGUAGGGCAUAGCCCGGCGAAAGUCGGAUUAAUACCCUAUGUUUUCCGUUGAUGGCAUCUGACAUGGAACAAAGAUUCAUCGCUAGGGGAUGGGGAUGCGUCCGAUUAGGUAGUCGGCGGGGUAACGGCCCACCGAGCCUUCGAUCGGUAGGGGUUCUGAGAGGAAGGUCCCCCACAUUGGAACUGAGACACGGUCCAAACUCCUACGGGAGGCAGCAGUGAGGAAUAUUGGUCAAUGGGCGUGAGCCUGAACCAGCCAAAAGUAGCGUGCAGGAUGACGGCCCUAUGGGUUGUAAACUGCUUUUGCCGGGGAAUAAAGUGAGGGACGUGUCCCUUUUUGUAUGUACCCCGGAGAAUAAGGACCGGCUAAUUCCGUGCCAGCCGCAGC